CGGGGGUGGCUGCAGCCACUCCCUUCCUGGGCUGCGGUGCGCCGCCGGGGGCGCUGCCGCUGUGGGCUCGCCCCGCUCUUGCAGGAAAACAGCUGGAGUCGAGAGGGAGCGGCUUUUCGAAAACCUGCUCCGCGAACAAAGCGUAAUGUGCAUGCCGAAUCUUUGGCUUUGGAGGCGUGGCACUGAGAUGGAUCAAAAUGUCUCUCCUUUUGCUUCAAAAUAGUCCACUGGGGAAUGGAGUGUGGACUGGAGAAAGGUGGAAACAAAAAUGUCCCUGUGUUGGUAAGUAGGUUAAGGUAUGCAAAUGAGAAGAAUGGAAUUCUUUGGGAUGAUAUUUUGCUUAAUUAGGAUCAAGG